rnacentral:rRNA from 1 species
UAGGUAGUGAAUCCUGGGCUCAACCCUUAACAUUAUUAAACUGCUAAGCUAGAAUAUGGAAGAGGUCGCUGGAAUUCCUGUGUAGGAGUGAAAUCCGUAGAUAUAAGGAGGAACACCGAUGGCGUAGGCAGGCGACUGGUCUAUUAUUGACACUAAGGCACGAAAGCGUGGGUAGCAAACGGGAUUAGAUACCCCGGUAGUCCACGCCGUAAACUAUGGAUGCUA